AGUGACGUCAAAUACAUCAUGCCCCUUACUGACCUGGGCGUACAAACGUAGAUACAAUAGGCUGGAACGAAAGGGAAGUGCGAAGCAGUGAUGUGGAGCGAAACCCAUAAAAACAGUCUCAGUUCGGAUUGAAGUCUGCAACUCGACUUCAUGAAGUCGGAAUCGCUAGUAAUCGCGGAUCAGAACGCCGCGGUGAAUACGUUCUCGGGGUUU
rnacentral:rRNA from 1 species